rnacentral:rRNA from 1 species
GGUACAUCGGUGACAGGUGGUGCAUGGUUGUCGUCAGCUCGUGUCGUGAGAUGUUGGUUAAGUCCCGCAACGAGCGCAACCCCUAUUGUUAGUUGCCAUCAUUCAGUUGGGCACUCUAGCGAGACUGCCGGUAAUAAACCGGAGGAAGGUGGGGAUGACGUCAAAUCAUCAUGCCCCUUAUGACCUGGGCUACACACGUGCUACAAUGGUUGGUACAACGAGUUGCGAGUCGGUGACGGCGAGCUAAUCUCUUAAAGCCAAUCUCAGUUCGGAUUGUAGGCUGCAACUCGCCUACAUGAAGUCGGAAUCGCUAGUAAUCGCGGAUCAGCACGCCGCGGUGGAUACGUUCCCGGGCCUU